GACAACAUUUACAUUUUUGGUUAAACUGUCACUUUAAGAAAGCAUAAUUUUGAACAGGAUCUCUAUUGUAUUUAAUGUAUUUUGCUUUCAGCUAUCAGCAUUCCAGCCAACCAAGAAAGACCAAAUGUGUUCUGACCAAUUACAUAUGCCAUAUCAUUGUAAUUAAGUCUCAAAGUGUAAAGACAUAUUUUAUAGACCAUUUUUUUUUUCAGAGUGAGUCUGAAAUUGUAAAAAUCUGAUAAUUGCUAUAUCAAGUUUUUGCUCCAACAGACCAUACAAAGAGUUUAAGCUCUGCCUCUACUUGGUCUAGUACCAUGGCCAGCUCACCGAGGAUUUUCGUCAGGUAGUUCACAUUGUCGUGGUCCAGGAUCUUUGCCUACAAACAUUUCCAGCAUCCUCCUUUCCUGAACUGUUACACUGGUGCUGAAACCCAGGAAAGGAGGAAGGGCACGCUCUCUGGGAGAACUCGCCACUGCCAUCCGCCAGGAGACCGAGGAGCAGUAGUUGCCGUCCACCAAGAGACCGAGGAGCAGUAGUUGCCGUCCACCAAGGGACGGAGGAGUUGCUGCCAUCCGCCAGGAAGCAGAGGAGCCAUUGCUGUCCACCAGGGGAUGAAGGACCCGCUGCCGUCUGCCGGGAGGCAGAGAAACUGCUGCCGUCCACCAGGGGACUUGCUCUUUCUCUCUUCCCCCACUCGCUCUUUCUCUCUCCCCCUCCCUCCUCUGGUCUCUCUCAGAUUCUCAGGAGGCGGGGAGGACCAUCGGGUGGCGGAACAGCCAGAAAGGCAGCGUCUCCCCUCCAGAGAUUGGGGGUGGGGGGGUAAGCCAGUCCGGAUUGCGCCUCGGCCUGAAUCGGGCGGUGGAGGAGUGUGACGAGGAGGGGGGCGUGAGUUGCUUAAUCAGCGGGAGGGAGCAAAGGGAAGAGCCGGGGAAGAGAGAGAGAGAGACACGCACGUGGCCGCUCUGCGUGUGUGUGUUUUAUGUUGCUGUGUUUUCAGUUUGAUGUUGUAUAAUUAAAGUCUUGUUGAUUGUUCAUUCGGUUCCCGCAUCCUCCUUUCCUGAACUGUUACACUGAGAUAAAGCUGUCAUGCCUAGUAAUAAUGUGCCUGACACUAUUGCUACUAGGGCAGAGAGAGUGCAGGGCUGCACCUGGAUGACCUCCAACAUGCUGAUUAAUCAGUUCCUGGGCCAAAGGCUGACCUGCAUCUCUCCAGGCUAUCUGUGGAGGAUCAAUUCAUCCUACAAUUGCAGGAUCCAAAAUGGUUUUUCCAUUAUUCAAGCAAACUUGCCCAUACCUCCAAGGUACACACAUAACUCUGAAUGACUGCUAGAGUAACACUGCAGUACAGUCAUAGUAUCACAGCGUUAGAGUUUGUUGUCUCAAAAGUUUAUUAUGCUGGGUUUUUGUCCCAUCCAUUCAAGUCUAAUUACAAAUUAAAACCGUGGACAGCUAUUGCAAGUCAAGUUGGCCAACAUAAUAGCAUCCAGCACAAGUGUGAGCAAGCAUUUUCACAACUUGCACUGCAGGACAUUAAAGAUAAAGUUCAUCCAAAAAUGAAAAUUCUGUCAUCAUGUACUCAUCAUGUACUUGUUUCAAACCAGUAAAGACUUACUUUCAUUGUAUCUUUUGUACAUAGAAUAAAACUGAAUGGUGACUGAAAAGGCUGUCAGUCCCUAACAUCUCCUUUUGUUUUCUACGGUUUUAGCACAACAUGAGAGUGUAUAAAUGAAGUCAGAAUUCUCAUUUUGGGUUAAACAAAGUUGUAAAAUUGGAUAUAACUUUACACAGAAAUGGAUUUAUUGGACUAAAAUUAUAUUGUUUACCUUUUGUGGAGUUACGCCCUGAAACAGUGAGUAUUUUAACGUAAAUGGAUUGGCCUCUUCACUUCCAUUGUAAGUGCCUCACUGUAACCCAGAUUUUAGCUUCUUUUUUUUUUUCUUUUUUUUUUUAUAAGUAAAAGAGGAACAAGUCGAAAUAAAUGUUUGUGGUAAUCAGCAUUAUGCCUCAAAUGCUGUCGAUUGAGCUUAACUUGUAAUGAACCCGGAAUAUUCCUUUAAAGUAAAUCUGUCUACAUAGUGUUUAUGCUUUGUGUUUCUUUGUGCAUUUAAAGUUAUCUAAAAGAAUUCUGCCUUAGUUUAUUUAAAAUAAAUGCAUCAUAUAUCUUACUACUUCAUCUAAAACCUUUUUAAAUAUUUUGGUGUCAAGAGCAGUCUCCGUUAGCUCUUUAAGACCACUGAGAAACACUGAUCUCUUUUCACUUGAGUGAGUGAGCUUGGCUCAAAAAAGAGCUUCAAAAAAUCUGUGAAAACAUUCCACCUCCCACACUCAAACUGUGAGGACAUUCAAAAUGACAGCAAUUGUGUGAGAGAUGAUAUAGUAGAGUACAACAGUGGUGAUUUAGUGCUUGUAUUGCAUACAUAAGGCUAGGGGCGAAACAAAUGGAAGAAAGAGUAAGAUAGAGUUUUAAUUGCUCUGCUGUUCGCUUUGAGCACAA